rnacentral:rRNA from 1 species
GAUGAACGCUAGCGGGAGGCUUAAUACAUGCAAGUCGUGCGGCAAGGUUUCUUCGGAGACCCUAGAGCGGCGUACGGGUGAGUAACACGUAUGUAAUCUGCCCCUAUCUGGGAAAUAGCCCUCCGAAAGGGGGAUUAAUGUCCCAUAACACUAUGAAAUGGCAUCAUUUUAUAUUUAAAGCUUCGGCGGAUAGGGAUGAACAUGCGUCCCAUUAGCUUGUUGGCGAGGUAACGGCUCACCAAGGCGACGAUGGGUAGCUGGUCUGAGAGG